UCAUAUUCUGCUAUUGUUGAAGAAGUUCCACAGAGGGAGAGAAACCGUGAGAGAGAGAGAGAGAGAACUCAAUUUACUUGAUUAUUGAAGAAGAGAAGAGUUGCUGGAAAUGGAAGAGGGCUAAAGGAAAAGCUAUGGAUUAGAGAAAGAAAUGAAGAAAAGAAAAGGGGAAAUAGAGGAGAAUCAAUUAAAAUGCUGAAAUUAAAGUAGAAGGUCACGCGCCAUUGUCUGCCUGAUUUAUCUGAUAUGUCCAGUCCGUCUUAUUUGCUUCUGUGGCUACCUGUACAGGCGACAUGCUGCCUCCAAGGAUGUAGCCUGGGAGGUUGUGGGAGCUGAAGGC